AUAUAAUUAAGAAGAAAGGCAACACCGCCACAGUGAUAAAGCAAAGAGAAAAAGCGUGGCAAAGUAUUGCAGACCGCCUGAAUGCAUUAAACAUGAACGGGCCAAAACGGACAUGGCAGCAGGUCAAAAUCAAAUACAAGAACAUUCUGCAGAAUGCAGUGAAAAAGAAUACCCACAGACAAGGCACGGGUGGUGGGUCACCAAAGGCUGACCUUACCCCAGCAGAGGACAUGGCCUUGGAGCUAAAUAAAGGCAGGCCCGUCUUAGAGGGGAUCCCUGGGG